rnacentral:rRNA from 1 species
AUUGAACGCUGGCGGCAGGCCUAACACAUGCAAGUCGAGCGGGAACUUCGGUUCUAGCGGCGGACGGGUGAGUAAUGCGUAGGAAGCUACCCGACAGAGGGGGAUACCAGUUGGAAACGACUGUUAAUACCGCAUAAUGUCUACGGACCAAAGUGUGGGACCUUCGGGCCACAUGCUGUCGGAUGCGCCUACGUGGGAUUAGCUAGUUGGUGAGGUAAUGGCUCACCAAGGCGACGAUCCCUAGCUGGUUUGAGAGGAUGAUCAGCCACACUGGAACUGAGACACGGUCCAGACUCCUACGGGAGGCAGCAGUGGGGAAUAUUGGACAAUGGGCGCAAGCCUGAUCCAGCCAUGCCGCGUGUGUGAAGAAGGCCUUCGGGUUGUAAAGCACUUUCAGUAGGGAGGAAGAGUUGAGUGUUAAUAGUACUCAGCUUUGACGUUACCUACAGAAGAAGCACCGGCUAACUCUGUGCCAGCAGCCGCCGCCGUAA